UGCAAGUCGAACGAUGAUCCCAGCUUGCUGGGGGAUUAGUGGCGAACGGGUGAGUAACACGUGAGUAACCUGCCCUUGACUCUGGGAUAAGCCUGGGAAACUGGGUCUAAUACCGGAUACGACCAUCUGGCGCAUGUCAUGGUGGUGGAAAGCUUUUGUGGUUUUGGAUGGACUCGCGGCCUAUCAGCUUGUUGGUGGGGUAAUGGCCUACCAAGGCGACGACGGGUAGCCGGCCUGAGAGGGUGACCGGCCACACUGGGACUGAGACACGGCCCAGACUCCUACGGGAGGCAGCAGUGGGGAAUAUUGCACAAUGGGCGCAAGCCUGAUGCAGCGACGCCGCGUGAGGGAUGACGGCCUUCGGGUUGUAAACCUCUUUCAGUAGGGAAGAAGCGAAAGUGACGGUACCUGCAGAAGAAGCGCCGGCUAACUACGUGCCAGCAGCCGCGGUAAUACGUAGGGCGCAAGCGUUAUCCGGAAUUAUUGGGCGUAAAGAGCUCGUAGGCGGUUUGUCGCGUCUGCUGUGAAAGACCGGGGCUCAACUCCGGUUCUGCAGUGGGUACGGGCAGACUAGAGUGCAGUAGGGGAGACUGGAAUUCCUGGUGUAGCGGUGAAAUGCGCAGAUAUCAGGAGGAACACCGAUGGCGAAGGCAGGUCUCUGGGCUGUAACUGACGCUGAGGAGCGAAAGCAUGGGGAGCGAACAGGAUUAGAUACCCUGGUAGUCCAUGCCGUAAACGUUGGGCACUAGGUGUGGGGGACAUUCCACGUUUUCCGCGCCGUAGCUAACGCAUUAAGUGCC
rnacentral:rRNA from 1 species